AAAGCAUGGCUGCUCAACAUAUUAUGUAGCCAUUUUCGGAAAACACUAUCCAAGUAACUUACACAUGUACGAUAUUUUCUUUCUGAUUUUCUCAAAUUAAAUACACGAGUGUAUUAAGUGACUUCUUUGUAGAGUGACAUUCGAACAACGUCUUAAAUGCAUCUCAGACCAUCGGAAAUUUAUUAUUCUCAAGAUUCGAUCAACAAUUAUUUUGAUUCGCAAUCAAAGCAUAGCGGCAAACCAAUUGGUGAAACGUUGGACAAAAUUUGCGAAGGAAGGUGCAGUAUUCACUCGAUAACCUUUUAUCACCGUUGUAAAGAUAGGAGACAAAUGGAUGACGAUGGACAAUCGUCGCCUCUGGGUGUUUAAAGAGUUAGAGAGGCUCGGAAAAUGCGACAGUGUACCUGUCAAUGUUGACGACAGUAUCCCUUCUGAAAAACUUACAACGGACAAUGGCGGUGUCACAAUUGACGUCCGUGGCUGUCCUGGCGGAACAUGGUACACCAAACCAGGGUCUGAUAUCAGUCAUUUCGAGGUCGUUGAAAAAAGAUCGCGGUCGAUGGACUUCGAUGAUUGGGACUUUGGUCUAGAUUUUGAUAGAUUCACGCUUGAGGACGAUUCUGAUGGUUGUUAUGGUUAUGACAGUGAUUUUUAAUACAAACAUUGUCCCAAAAACUAAUAUGAACAGUUGUUGAUUGUCCAUAGGACAUAUGUUGAUUUUGUUUAAUCAUUUGCAUUUGUUUUUUAUAUUAUCUUGAUGAUAAUAAUUUAUUAAAGUAAAUUAAACGUUUUAUCAUUUGUCGCUUUUAUUCAAGGCAUUUUUUAUGUGUUAAUAAUGCGUGUGUUAUACCAUUAAACAAUUUAAUAUA